CCGAAUAACAAACCGGGGCUCGGUGCUCCAGUUGGAUCCACACGGAGAGCCAGGGCUAAUGUUAGCUGGGAGGCUAACGAUACGGUAUUGGCGGCGGGUAAAGAUAAUAAACGUCGUCUUUUUCCACGUCUGAAAGUCCACUCGGUCCUCACAAAGACAGAAGAACAACAUCAGUGCGACUGCUGCAGGAACGUUGAUCCUCUCGUUGCUUUUACACACUUUAAUCUACACACAGAUAAUCUGAUUUACAUAGAGAAUCAGAAGCGAAGCGAUGAAAUCCAUCAUGGGCUACAAUCUCAGCUUAUUGAUCGUGGGAAACUUCUAUGAAGUAAUAACUAAUCUGCUGUUUUAUGUCUGGCUGUGCUGCUGCUGCUGCUGUCAGUUUGUUAAAUCAGUGAGUUUCAGUGGAGCUCAGUCUUCACUCAAAUAUUUAUUAAUUUAUUCCUACUAUAGCUGAGCAAUCCUGAAUAAAUGAACAUAGAGAGAUCUUUCACAGAAUAUCUCAGUAUUAAUAAUGUGAUGAUAUUUUCCAGAUACCUAUCAGUACUUUCACAUAAAAUACACACCAGACCAGUCAAAGAUGUUCCACAAAGUUUUAUAUUUGCAGACCAACCCACAGAGAAGUUGAGUUGGGGAGAUGAGGACAAAUAUCGAUUAUUCUGUCAAUAGUUCUUCCAACUUUUUUACUUUUCUUUAUUCCACAAUGACUUCUCCAGGAGGUUUAAUGGAGCUUUUUUAGCCUCAUGGUGGUGCACGACUCAUCCUCUGGGAUCAUGAAUGUACGUCUUAUAAUAUUAAUCUAGUACAAAGAGAAGAUAAAAGGUACCAGCUUCUUUCUAGAGCAAUUACUUUCAUUAUCAAUUAAUCAUUUGUCAAUAAAAUGUCAGGAAAUUGUAAAAGAAAUGACUGUAAGAGUCACAAGUGGCGUCUUUAAAUGUCUUAUUUUGUCCAAACAAGAGUCCAAAACCCAAAUAUAUUCAGUUUACUAUCAUGCAUUUGAUAAGCUAAAACCAGCAAUUCCUUUUACAUAUUUGCUUAAAAAAAUGACUAAAAUGAUUAUUUGAUUAUCAAAAUAGUCUCAUCUAAUCUACUUACUGCAGUCCCUGGCAGUUUACUAUCAUGUAUGACAAAGAAAAGCUUAAAAUUAUCACACUUGAGAAGCUGAAACCAGCAUAUCUUUUUUGGCAUUUUUGCUUUUACAGUCUACAGUUUGUUGUCAGAAAACAGUUCAAAUCAAAACUGAACAGGUUUGGAUUGUAAUCAGGAACUCUAAAAGUUCAACCUCAGCAAACUGAAGAUAUUUAACACAAGAAAAAAAAAAUGUUUCUAUCAAAGAAGCUGAUUGAGAUCCAUCGAAACACCGUCGCCAGUCAAGAAACUAUCAGACAAAACAAACUGAACCUUUAGUCUUAAAGUCAACUGGAUUCAACUUUGUACAGUAACAAUCUGUGUUCUUCACAUGUCUAUCAACCUGUAGAGACAAACUCAGCAAAACAUCUCCAGACUCUACCCAUCACUGUCUCAAUCCAGCACCGAGAUCCUGGUUCACUCAUUUGUCACAUCCUGCAUCCUCACCAGACUCCCCACCAAACACAUCAACAGACUGCAAAUGAUUCAGAACUCGGCCGCCCGGAUCAUCGCCCCUGUUCUCAUCCAACUUCACUGGCUCCCUGUUCAACACCGCAUCCACUACAAAAACCUCCUCCUCACCUAGAAAGCUCUCCACAUCCUAGCCCCGACUUACCUCCAGGACCUCCUUCAUGAAUACACUCCCUCCCGCACCCUCCACUCUUAUCCAUCCCCAGGUCACACCUCAGUACCAUGGGUGCCCGAGCCUUCAGCUGCUCAGCACCCAAGCUCUGGACCCCCCCCGACCCCCCCCCCACAUAUAAGACAGUCAGACUCCAUCACCUCUUUUAAGUCCCACCUGUUCAAACUGGCAUACUCUGUAUAACUGGACACUGUGCACCUCACCUGUUUUUAUGCUGAUGUUUUAUUUCUUGUAAGGUGACCUUGGGUGACUUGAAAGGUGCCUCCAAAUAAAAUGUAUUAUUAUUAUUAUUAUGAUCUACAGGAUUACAGUGACGAUCAAUAAGUCUAUAAUCUAUCAUCUCAUGUUGUUAUGAAUGAAUCACUGUUGAAAAACAACCAUGUUUUUUAUAGUUGUACCAUAAUUUCAUCAUGUUUUGACUUUAAAUUACAUUCAUUUUGUUAAAGUGAUUUAUAUAUUUUCUCUCUUCAGGGUUCAGAGUCUCCGACAUGGACAUUGAACCUUUGAAUAACAGCCGAGCAGCAGCAGCUCUACGCCCACCUGAGCUUUAUAAAACAAUCCGAGCAGCUUUAAUUGAUUUCACCGCUUUGGUGUGAAACAGAGUUGUGUGAAAAUAAAAAUGAAAAGCACCAAGUCAGCUCUGUUUUAAUCCCACACUAAAUUACAAUUUAAUUGCCAAACAUUUAGUUUGGAGCUCUGUAUUCAUAUUUUUCACAGCACUUUUUAAACUUUUUAUUCAGUUUUAUUGAAUUUUAUCAACCUUUUUAUCUUCUGUUUUAUUCUUUUUAAACUUUAUUUUAUGUGUCUUGUUAAUAUUGCCUCGGCUUUCUUUUUUGAUGCACAUUGGAUCGAAAGGUGCUUUACAAAUUAAUUUGCAUUAAUCAUUUUCUUCUUUAGAAAGCAAAACAUGCUAAAUAUUUCCUGGUUCAAGCUUCUCAUAUGUAAAGAUUUGGUUUUAAAUCAAUUAAUAAAAUGAACAUCUUUGGGUUUUGGACUGUUGGUGAAACAAAACAACAACUUUGAAGACGUUUUGGGCUUUUUUCUCUAUUUUCUGUUAGUUAACUGUUAAAUUAACACAAUAAAAGAUGAAUCUAUCAUGAUAAUA